rnacentral:lncRNA from 1 species
CUACAACCUCCCCUCUGCCUCCCAGGCUCAAGCAAUUCUCGUGCCUCAGCCUCCUGAGUCGCUGGGAUUACAGACGUGCACCACCAUGCCUGGCUAAUUUUUGUAUUUUUAGUAGGGACAGGGGUUUCACCAUGUUGGCCAGGCUGGUCUUGAACUCCUGAUCUCAUGUAAUCCACUGGCCUUGGCCUCCCAAAGUGCUGGGAUUACAGGCGUGAGCCACCACGCCUGGCUGGUAAAGUGGUUUUAACUACAGUAUAAAGCUCUUAGAACUAAGAACAGUACUUGAAAUAGUGUUCGAUAAAUGCUAUUAAGUAUUCAGGAGCACAAAAUGGAUCCCAUAAAGGUAAUUCAAAGGACCACAAAAAUCAGUGUUUCUGUGUUUUGUUUUUUAAAACAUGCUUCCUUCCCUUUCUCCAACACACAAGCAGUGAAGUAGAGAGACACCCAUAGCCCGAGUGAGAAGACACCCAAACACCAAAUUAGAAAUGACUUCACAAUCAGCCCCGGA